CUUGCUUGUUGUAGAAAAGGCGCAAACUGUUGAGGCGUUUGUAAACGACAAGAAGACCACAAUGAAGUAAUGCUUUGACGUGGAUAUAGUCCUUUAAAGUUGUCUAAGGUUUAACAACAUCGAUCCAAACUUGAUUUAAAAGCACAGUCUUUAAAAAUCCAGGUAAUUGAAUCUUCUUGGCGUCAGCUGGCGUCAGACACUUGGAAACGUUCCCGCCGGUUUCAAAAGCAUGAUCGGCCAUGAACCCAAACACAGUACGAGUAGUUCCCACACAACGCAGCAUUCAUGCUGCAGAUGUGUUUGCUUCAAAUCAUCGCUUUCAGAAACAGAUCUUCAAUAGCUGUCAUCUACAUCUCAAACAUCCCAGGGCGGAUACAAAAAAAAUCUGGAUCACGCUAGUCCAUACUGUACGUCCCAGAAAACCAGAGGGACUUGGCCAGUAAGCUUGUUUGACUCAAAGGAGCUGAAGCAUGCCGGUCAGAUGGAGUCUGUGGUUAAGGGCUCUUCUCUGGGGAGGAGACGGUGUUGACAGAUCAGACAGGAGAAAGUGGUGCUGGUUGUAGGAAACCACUGCUAAUGUCCCAUGCUGUGUGUGUUUGGCUGUUUUAUUUAUUGUGUUUGGUGCAUUACUUAGGCUGUCACCAAAUUCGGUUAUCUAAAUGUUUAUGAUGCACUUUAGGGGUGAAACAUUGAUUGACUGAUGCAUCCUGAUUCUCAUUUUAUAUAUUAUAUGCAAAAAUAUACAGGAAACAAAUGCAUGUAAACCAAUAAAAAUGAGAUCAUU